rnacentral:lncRNA from 1 species
CAGAAGGCUCCACAGAAGAAAAAGAAAAAAGAACCGAAAGGCCCAGCCAUGGCUCUGCCCUCUGAGGAGGACUUCGAUGCCCUAGUGUCAGCUGUGGUGAAGGCUGACAACACCUGUAGCUUCACCAAGUGCUCGGCCAGCACCACCACGCUGGGCCAGUUCUGCAUGCACUGUAGCCGCCGCUAUUGCCUCAGCCACCAUCUGCCCGAGGUGAGGGCUCCUUCUGGAUGACGUGAGCAUCACGUGGUGGGGGAGGAGUAGCCAGACUGUAAAAGUCAAAGCAGAUAGUGAUCAUGUUCUCAUGGGAACACUUGGGCUCAAGGAAAUCGAGUACACCUUUGCUGAGGGACACCACAGCAGUGGGCACUCAGGGUAGAGGAGGUCUGUCUAUCCUGCAGGCCCCUCCCUGGGCAGCUGUGAAAGACAGACCUGGGGAGGGCAGAAGGGCAGGUCCACGGCCUUGCGCCAGCUUUAGGUGGCCCCUUUGAUGCAGCUCAGCAGGCUGCAGCCUCCUUUGCCCACAGCCCACCCUGGCUCUCGUGUUCUUUCAGAUCCAUGGCUGUGGUGAAAAGGCUCGUGCCCAUGCCCGGCAGAGGAUUAGCCGGGAAGGAGUACUCUACGCAGGCAGUGGGACCAAGGACAGGGCCCUGGACCCAGCCAAGAGGGCCCAGCUGCAGAGGAAACUGGACAAGAAGCUGGGCGAGCUCAGCAGCCAGAGGACAAGCAAGAAGAAGGAGAAGGAGAGGGGGAC